rnacentral:lncRNA from 1 species
CAGAACUUGUUUAGCACGAGCAGCUUCAGUAAUCUCUUGGUAAAGACGCAGAUUUGGUACCAAAAGCUUUUUGUUAGGGUUCUGUGUUUUUCUCCAAUGUUUAUCUUCUCUUUCUCUUUAUUAGGGUUCAUGCAUGUUUGGAAGUUUAGCGAUUUUCCCCAAUUCAUGUUCUAAUUUUUUUCUCAGUUCGAUAAUCGAUGAUUCAUUCUGUCAAUUGAAAGCGAUUAAAGAUAUAAUGAAAACGAAGAGUAAAAGUAUUGUUGUCUGCAUUACUGUCAUUGAAAGCGAUUAGAAGAUAUUCAUUAUGUCAAUCGAUUGUGUUAAUUUUUGUAACUUUUCUGUUCAAUAUUUGUUUAAAUUUUUUCUGCUCUGUUUGGUAUUUGGAUUGCAUGCACUUAAUUUUGACAUUUUUAAUUAUUGUUCUGCUAAUAUUAACCUAAAUAUUAUAUAUGGCCUUGAUAGGUAGCCGAGGGAUCUAAAACAACUGGCGAAGCUAUUGGGAUCGAGGUUGACAAAAAAAUAUUUGAUAGGUAUAGCUCUUGUCAGUUAACUUUAUCCUUUCGUUUGAGCAAUCUUCUUUUUUUAAAGGUAUAUUAUUCUUUCUUAGUAUUGAGUUACUUCCUAAUAGUGUGAAUUUGUAAUUAGAUGUUGGAUUUUUAUAUGUUUUAACCUAUAACUUACGAAAACUAAGUUGAAGAUAUAGAUAGUUCUCGCAACAAAGUAAAGAUUAGUGCUUAAUCUUUUUUAUAAGUUCUCUUAAGGUAGAUAACAUAAUUACAUGAUAAAAAUGUGUAUAUACAGAGUAUCAAACAGAGUGCAUUGUUGAUCUAACUUUUGCUGCAGAUGUUUGCCCAUGGGCUAUAUUGUUGACCUAACUUGUUUUAGGCAGAUUAAUACCUUUUUUAUAUCUGUUUAACUGUUUAUAUAGAGAUAGUAAGCAUUGAUUUAACUAGAAUUCAAGAAGUUCUUGUGCAUGUUACCUUACUAUCAGUGAAAUAGGCGUUUACUCCUAUGAUUUUUUUUGUCAAGUCUGCAGUCUUUGCUAAUGUCCACACAUGCUAGUCUGUUCUAUGUAUGUACUUGUGUGUAUUUGCUAGAGGAAAAAGUACUUAUAUUCUCUUAUUGUCUUGUGCCGGUGGUUGAUAGUUUUUAAGUAAAAAUAUUAUAUGUUUAAUUUAGUUACAAGUCUGUCCAGUGAACUAAGCAGACCAGUUAUUUAGUUUUUUAUUGUAACUGCCCAUUCUGCGAUGCUAAUAUUGAAAAGGUUGUACCUUUAUGGCUGUAUUUCUUACUACUAUAUCUUUGUCUUUCCCACUUUUUAUCACUGCAUGUCUCAAUAUUUUAGAGCUCUUGUGUAAACCAAAGCAGCCAUAACAUAGUAAAAUGUCAUUGUUGUCACCUUUGAAUAUUGUUACAAAAACUAUAUUUUAAGAAUCACUUCGUUUUUUUUAUUUGGCAAUACAGAGUGACAUGUAAUCCGGAGUGACUUAUACAUAUAAAGUAGCUUACAUAUAUUUUCACUUACUAGGACUAAGUUGAAGAUAUAGAAAACUUUUAGAUGGUAGUUCUAACAUGCUUUAUUUUUUGUUUUUCCCUGAAUAAGUUGUAUCCUGUUUUUGUUUUUCUUUGUUUGUUUCUUGCUUUGGUUUUUCUUUACAUAUUCUUUAGAAGAUAUGAAUUAAAUUUUUUAUUUUGAUAUUGUGAUGUUAUCUUGUGUCUUCCUUUCUAUAGCCAUGCGAAUUGAUAAGUCUUGGAUUAGCAAACCGAAUGUAGUUUUAACACGUGGCAAAGAAGAAAUGUAGUUGAAGAGCACUUGAUUUGUAAGCCUUUUCAAAAAAACUAUAAAUUUUGGUAUUGGCAUGGUGAAGAAUCAAAUGCAACUAUGCAUCAGACUUCUCAGAACACACAUGUAAUAGAGGAUAUUUUAGAGCCCCAAGAUCCAAUGGAAAUCAUGAUAAAUGAUGCAUUUGGGUUUGCCAGGAACAAUAUCAAUGAGCUUGGUGUAUCUUCUAAUUAUAUGAAUAGAGAAGUGGUCUUUUCGACAAUACUCACCAAAGGAUUAGCUUAGCUCUAUAUGUUGCUAUAUGGCUGCUAGUAGUCGCUGGGAUUUUAGGGCCUGACAAGUAAAGGAUACCAUAAUUCACUAUGGAAAUUUUCUCUUCUGCCAAUUGAAUAGACCUUUAUGUGGGUUGUCUUGAGCUUCACUGCUCUUUAUUGCAAGUACAAAGGCAGUUUGAAAUUCCCAUUGUUGUCAGAACAUCAAUGGUAUAAUCCCAGGUUGGAUGCUGUGAAUGUCCCUUAAAAGCAAUCUUGAUGGUCAUAUCUUGCAAAUCUGCUACCCCUGCUCUUGCCUUCCUCUGUUUUGUUGCUAUUAGGGGUGUUACUUUUCCCUUUUUUGGUUUUGGUCAAAGAUCACAGAAUGAAAGAAAGUUAUUGAGAAGAAGAGUAGAGAGUAGAAUCACAGAACAGAAAAUUAGUAGAUGAUCCCAAUCUCUUGGUUAAUCAAAGAGAGUGUAGCCAUAAAACAUUUAACUGUAUGAAUGCAACACGCUAAUAAAAAUUGACUUGUCUAUACAAUUAUGUACCAGUGUUUAUCCUUAUUAAUGUUAGCAAGAGAAGUGAGAAACACCAAGAAAUGGAAACCCUGCUUUGUUAGCUGAUAAGAUCUGUUCAUCAAAUUACCUUUUCAUUUCGCUUCCUUUUUAGGUUCAGAUAGAAACCUACAUCUCUUUUUUCUUUUAGCUGAUAAGACCAGUUUCUGAAAGGAAAUAACUAACUUGUGCUGCUUCUAUCACAUUAGAAAUCUAGUUAUUCCAGACAAGGUUCUCUUCCAUAUAAUGUUUAUAUGGAAUUAUACUAUCUGAAGUAACUAGGAAUUCUGAUCUUCAGGAGUCAUUGCUCCCUGAAGAAGAACCUGCAUGUAUACUCUUGUUGAUGUUGUUCAGCAAUUUCUUGGAUCUGUUUCUUUUGUGCUUAGAUGUGAAACUUGAAUUGCAUUAUUCCCUUAGUUUGACCGUCUUUCGAACAUUAAUUUAUUUUGAGAUUUUCCAGUCUAGUUUGUCGGUUUAUCGAGUUAAUGUUUUGCUGCUAUUUUUAGGAGUACAAGGUUUUAAUAGAAUUAGUCCUCUCAAUUUACUUAUUGACUGUAUAUUUUUUCAGGCGCCAGAUUUAGGAAGUGAUGCACCGUCACCAGUUGAUCCAAGAAGAUCUUUAGAUGAAAGUAAUAAUGAUUAUCGUCCAAGUGCCAAUUAGUAAUUAUUAUUAUUAGGAUCAACUGACUUUUUUGGGUAUUAUUGUUGAAGAAUGUAAUUGUCACGACUCGGCAUUUCCACCGUCGGGACCGUGAUGGAGCCUAACAUUUCACUUGCUAGGAAAGCCAACGUUGUAAUAAUUUAUCUUUUUUAACAAUUUAAAUUUAAUUAAUGAAGAAGAACUGAUUUAACUGCAAUAAUCUAAAUA